UGGGGAAUAUUGGGCAAUGGGCGCAAGCCUGACCCAGCAACGCCGCGUGAAGGAAGAAGGCUUUCGGGUUGUAAACUUCUUUUAAGAGGGAAGAGAAGAAGACGGUACCUCUUGAAUAAGCCACGGCUAACUACGUGCCAGCAGCCGCGGUAAUACGUAGGUGGCAAGCGUUGUCCGGAUUUACUGGGUGUAAAGGGCGUGCAGCCGGGCUGACAAGUCAGAUGUGAAAUCCCGCGGCUCAACCGCGGAACUGCAUUUGAAACUGUCAGUCUUGAGUACCGGAGAGGUCAUCGGAAUUCCUUG
rnacentral:rRNA from 1 species